UAGUGGAUUUGAAGGACUUGCACUUUGAACAGUGGAAUGCAUGAUGUAUACUGGUAACAGUUACGAAUCUGACACAUCUGAUACGCCGAAGUAGGUCACAUAAUACUUUACAAGUAGGAAAAGGGUGAACAGAAAGCCUGGUCUAUUACACUCCUUCGGCUUUUUAGACCUGUUAUGUUCAGUAUAAUUUUAAGAUACAACGCCAGGUUUAACGAAAGGCAGAUGAUUUUAUCCCGCACAGGAUAAGGCUAUCUCGAAGAGCUAUCUCUAUAAGGUAAACGAGAGAAGUGUGGAAACCGUUUGCAUCGGGAAAAUAAUGCUGUACAAUGAUUUCAAAUCCGUGACUGAUAGAUGCCGGCGGGCUACAUGUUGAGAAAAUACAGAAAGAUAGUGAGGCGAAUCGUAACUUCAGAAAAACGUUAAUGAAAGCCGUAGGAGGGACGAUGCCAGAUAGUUGUAAAAUUGACGUCGUUUGUUAUGGCAUGCGAGCAGUUGCCAUCACAUUUGCAAUUCUUGCCUUCGUGUUUGGGACAAUAAUGUGUUUUAUGAUGUAUAAAUACUAUGCUCUUCUACGAAAUUACAGACGGAUCGAUCCGAUGCUUAUUGGGGAAGAAAGAACACGAGACGAGGAAAAUGAAGGUCGUGAUUGGACCGAUUCCCAGACGUUUUCUAUGUAAUACCUUUGUAAUAAUGAAAAUAUGCUCACCUUAUAUGUCAUUAUCGCCGUCCAACAAACGUCUUUUGUGUACACAAAAGUACUUAGAACAACGGACAUAGUGAAAUAAUUGAUAUUUAUUGUGACUGUAGAAAUCGCAGAGAAACAUAUUGAAAUAAAAUUGCCUGGAAGUGA